GGCUAAAAUGAGGAAGUCUCUGAAUUUGAAGAUCUUAUCUGUUUGGUGUGUUUGCCUCUAUUAUGGAAAUACAUAUCUGGAAAUGCAGGUAUAACUCUUUGAGAGUGUCCACUUUCUGAGUAGAGUUUUAUGCUUCCUUCUUUUCACCCAGCUAUGGGAUACAGCUGCUCACAACGUGGAGCCCACACUCUCAAUGUCCCCCUCACCUUCAGGCUAUGUUCACACUGAUCUCUCUGUGAAGAUUAUUACUCUCCUGCCCUUGUGUACAUGUAAAAUUCCUUCCCAUUCUUUUAGACUAGUUAAAAUGCUAUCUCUCCUUAAAGACGUCCCUAUACAUCCCAGUUUAAAUUAACCAUUCUCUCUUCUUCCUUCCUUCUACAAGCUUAUACCUUUUUAAAACAGGUAUUCUAAUCUGCCUUAUCCUAGAGUUAUAGCAUGCAGAGGUGGGGAAGGGGCUUGCUUGACCUUCUCAGUAUGCUGGGAACCCCACCUGGGCAGAGUAUUUAUCAUAUUUUUUUUCUUGGUACUCCACUGUGCCAGAGAUUGCACCUGCACAAGUGUGUAUGUGACGAUGUAUUUAGAUAUGGACUUUGAUGUUUGUACAUGGAUAUUUGGAUUAUAAAAACAAAUAUAUAAGAUGUUUGUGUAUAUCAGGGAAUAAUUUCUUUGGCACUUCUAGGCCAGGCUGUACUCUAAAAUGAAAGCAAAAGAUAAGGUCAAUUAGCUAGAUGACUAUAUUAGAUGCGUAUUUCUACAAGUCUUAAGUACACUCACAGAGCUAUUUGAUGUUAGAAUAAUAAUUUUUAAAUAACUUAGUAGAAAUAAAAACGGGAGAAAAUCAGUUUCUAUUUUUUUGGCUAUGAGCCAGCUCACCAUAUAACUUUUGGUCCUCUUUUUACCCAAACUGUAGGAUGAUGGUGAUAAAACUACAUGAUUUUUAGUAACCUAUCCAGUUCUACAUGCCUAUAAUUCAGUAAUUCUAAUAAUCAGAGCAAUUCUUCCCUCCAUAGGAACAUUCUGUUCCCCACUGGUAAAGUCAUGGCAUUUAGAAAAUUUUGGAUAAAUAGUAAUAUCAAUAAGAAAUUGGUAAAGAACCAAUUAAGCCACCUGAGGAAGAAAAGAGUAUUCUAUUUGAAUGAAGGAAGCCAGAAAUUCUGGAAGGAUGUGAUG
rnacentral:lncRNA from 1 species